rnacentral:lncRNA from 1 species
UUUUUUUUUUUUUUUUCCCCACCGUGCAGACCUCUGGAUCAGGGAAAGAUUUCACUAAAUGCCAACAGACAGUGUUGUAGCAGUUCUUAACUGUAACCUUUCCAUGUGUAGAUACGCAUCUUUUGCAGAUUCUCCAGCUGUUAACAUUUUAUAAUCUGUCCGUAACCUCCAGGUUAAAAUCUGGUUUUAUAGCUAGACAUGGUAACUGUCCCCCAACCACCAAUGUUCUCUUCUGUACUGUACACUGAAGCAAUUCUGGUUUCGUUUUAUAUGGGUUCUCCGGCUUUCAAGCAAGACAAAAUAAUCUAUUGUGUUGCUGUCCCCAAGGAAUGGUCCUGCCUAGUCUUGGCUAAGAGUCUGUUUCUCACCCCAGACCCUGGCUGUCAGAGAUUUUUUUUACCUUGGUUAUAAAAAUGUGGAGUUCAACCAGUCCUCAGUAUGGGGAGGCCCAAGCAAAGAACACGUAAAGAAAAAUAAUAGAAAAUGUUGUUUUUCAUGUCAUUUGACCGAUGCUUUAUAGACGUAGGACCGAGACACGUGUGUUCAGAAUGACACUGGGAAGCUUACGCAUCAUGAACACUUUGUGCCAAGAUGAUUUUUGAGAAGUGGUUAACGUACCUGUGUGCUUUCUCUUAUUUUAGAUGAAACGGUUAUUUCAGAAAGGGUCACCAUUUGCCUCGGUAGUUUGAAGGAUAAACUGGAGCAGUUCCUAGAAUGCUUGAUGGUCUGAGGCUGAUAGAAUAUCCUCUUUGCAAAAUGCACUUCAAUGUAUUUCAUCAAAAGAGCCGAGCUUUGACUAGGAGGUGAUUCAUGGUGUCAGGAUAUUUCCCAGAGACAUGCCCACUUCUGCGUAACUCUCAUUUUCCAGAGAGCUUCCCGAAGAAGUGAGCCGAGAACAUAUGCUUUGCAGGUUUGUUUUUUGUUUUGUAAAGGAAAGAAUAAGGCAAGUUAAGCUUAUGACAACCUAUGUUAAUAAUAUGAAGGACGUAAUGAAAUACACAGACGGCAAAGGAAGCCAAAUCUGAGCCAAGAGCACAAGCAGGUCCUUCCCCCUUUACAUCUGCAGCGAUGCAGCUAGAAGCAGGUGCCGGUGGAGACCUGCUGAAUUUCUUUAUUAGUGAGAGCACUGGCAUUUAUGGCGUGAGGUCAGACCCUUGAUGUUAUUUCAAAGGAGCGUUUUAAUAUUUAAUUUCCUUAUGUCUAUAGAUGAGGUCUUAUAGGCAGACAUAGCCUUAAGUACUCUGAGCACACCACCAGGAAUCAAAAAGCAGCUCUCUCUCUCACACACACACACACACACACACACACACACACACACGUGCUCAUGCACUCAGCUGUGCACCACUCACAGACAAAGACAGCCUGACCUCAAUAUCUAUGUUACCCGAAUCGUGUCACUCGAACCCCUGCCCUUCGGUACUAAUGCUUUUCCUGCUUCCACUAGCCCUACAGCAUCUCGCGUAAUUGCAAGAGGAAAUGGGUUUUCAUUACUUCACCUAAUAGCAACUGUGGGAUACAGGACAUCAAGUCCUUCUUUAGCUGCUUUCCCCACACAUUAUCCGCCCAUUUAAACGCAAAGUGUGUGAUAGCUGUGAAGAUUAUGAGUUUAAGGAUUUAUUCAUUCAUCUCAGAAGUAGUUUGCAGGUGUUUGCACUCCCGUGAGUAUUUAUCUAAGCUUUACCCACACAGUUGUCAAAGUGAAAACACUGUGUUAGGUACUGAGAUGGCUUUGGCGGAACUUUCCGAGUUUUCAUCAUUUACGUCUUUGGUAGAUUAAUUUUCUGCGACCUUUCACUCUUUCCUUUGUGGGAAGAGACUGGUCAGUGUAGGCUUCUGUCCGCUCCCUCAGUUUCCAUCGUGUUGGCUUGGUGCCCUCAGGAAGCAGUUCCUAGAGGAUGCUCGUGACGUGUGCCUGUUUGGACAUAUGCUCUGUGGAACUCAGUGCCUGACUUAAAACCCUUGGGACCUGGCCUCCGGUGCUUGGCUUCUGAGACAUGUCCCAGCAUAUUCACGAAGACUUAGCUCCCCCUCGUCCUUGGUAGGAAAUCAACCCAAGACUUUUACACCCUUAAACAUAAGGAGAAAGCAUCACCUUUGCCUCUUGGUGGCCACCAGGGAGGACAGCCCAGUACAAGUACCAGGAUGCGAUAAGAGGGGACACCCAAAUGCCACGGCCGAAUCCCCUUUCCCUCCCCCAUGCACCAGACUGAGGGGUGAGCCACACAGUUUCCUUCGGAACUUUCCAUUCUCCACGCACAGAUAUUCGUAAAGCAGUUUAGGACCCAAAGGCUAGCCUGGCAGCCUGGCGUCUUAUGUGGAAAAGCGAGAGACCAGCGUUUGCCCUGGGAAAAGAGGCAGCUGGAACGGUAUCAGGCGAUGUGGGCGUGUGGUCCCUCUUCCAGGGCAGGUGUGGCUUCUGUGACGCCAUCCUGCUCUGAGGACACUCUGUUGGACGUCCUGGAUCAGCAGCAAGGGCACCACCCCGCACAUUGUCACCCAAAUGCCUCUAAAAAACAGAAAUUAUAAGCAUGACUAACAUUUGUUGAGCACCUACUAUGGGCCAGGCCCUGCUGGGAGCUUUACAAAUGCUUAUCCUUCUGAUAGCCAUGUGGGAUAAGGUAUAUCACCUUGACGGAGUAUAUAAAAUUCAUCUGUUUGGUUUGUUCCUAUCCCGUUCCACCCACUCGUCCUUCAUCCAUCCAUCCAUCCACCCAUCCAUCCAUCCAUCUCUUUUCCUCUCUCUCUCUCUUCACCCAAUCUCUGGGACAGGACUAUACACGCUUUUAAUACAAGAGCUAAGAACUGCUUAAUCCUGCCCUCCGCUCACUUUCAGUAGAAAAAGAGUGGACGCAGACCAUGCAGCUGAGAACUGGUUUGAGUCCAAGAUGGCGGUACUCUUGCCCUGUCCUGGGCAGGCGCAGCUGUGUGUGUUCAGAGGCACACCGCCUGCCUGGCUUUGGAGGGAUCCUCGCCUUCCCCGGAUUAACUUCAAAAGGGUAGACAGACAUCUCUCCUGUUGUCAUGGUGAUUCUUCUUCCCAGAUAGGAUGUCAGGCAUUCUGAGCACGUUUCCCUUGUUGUUUUUCCACCUUCAGCCCAGUCCAGGCUUGUCCUGGGUGUCCUGUGUUGUUUGCUGAAACAGUAGCUGGUGGAGUGACGCCUCGCCUUGGCACAGUUGGGAACUGCAGAGACAAGCUCCUGGCUCUUUGGAAAGUAGCGGAUCCUACCUUCCGCCUCUGGCCAUUGAUGGAAUCCUGGCCUAGAUUUUCAGAUUCGCUCAUUCAUUUAACUAAUAUUUACCGAACACUAAUAAGUCAGUCACUGUGACUCUCAGUAUUUUAUAUUUAAUUAAAAUACUUUAACCUCUCCUGUGUGUUUACUGGGAGCCAGGAUCAUGCUCUCUCUUUUCCUUUACAUUCCGUUCACAAGAACCGGGCGCGGUGGGACUCAGCGCCCUUCUGCAGAGGAAAGAAAAUGAGGAAAAACUAAAAUACCUCGUCCGAAGUCAUUCGUUCCGUGAGCCACAGGCAGGCUGGGAACCCGCAGUCUAACUCAAUUGCUUGUGCUUUAAUUAUAAGUCUUUCUCAGCCAUCUGAUUCGAUGUGUGUGCGAUUUAAGUGAGCAACUCAUCAAAGUUCUGAACCGCAAGAGCCAAACCAGAUUUUUAGGAUUGCAGAGAAAAGAGAACUUGGCUUAAAAAAAUCAUUUGAUGGCAUGUAUAGUUGCAAGUCGAAAGGGUAGGUCUCGGGGCUGGCAGGGUUUUGUAUCCACCUGGCCUGUCAAAAUUUGGAGCCGUGUUCACCAGUCAUUCCAUGUUAGCCGAUCCGCACACAGAUUUUAUAAUCGGAGGAGUGCAUUGUCUGUAAUAAGACCAACAACAGCAAUUUCAAUAGUGAAUCUGGCAGGUUGCAAGCUGAGUUCUCUUCCACUCUGGUUCUAGAAGGAUGCCUUUUUCUCAAUAUUUAGGAAAAACUGCUUUGAGAUUGCAUCGCUGUCACAAUUAACCAGGUUAUUUUAUUCCUAUAUGGGCUGCCUACACUUGGAAAAUGCCCUUUGUCAUGAGACGCGGUGCCAGAAGUCAGGAGCAGGUGACCGUUGUGUUGAUCUGGGGUCGCUUUUGGAAAUUGUUCAAUAAUUGGGUAGAGGGACUUUCUGCUCUGUGGGAGAAGAUACAUUUUGAGUGAAAUAUAACCUGGGUCACUGGUUGCUGGGGGCCCUAAUCCACUUUCUCAGAUACCUACCUGGAUCACUGAAUACACGAGAGCAGAAAAUGCUAAAAAUAUCUGGUCCAGGUGUACGGAGGCCUGGAAGUGACACACAGGAAGCACUUGCUAUCAUGUCCUGAGAUGAAACGGGCCCAGGGCAGCUGGCAGAAUUAAAAAUCUCAACUUCCUGUGUUAUAACCGCGAAUCUGCCGCCGCCCCGUGAUUUCUCAAUAAAGGAGGAGAAACUCUAACAAAAUAAUCUUGCACAUUUUGAUGGUUCCCAGGAUAAAUUUAACUCAACAUGGAGGAUCUGAUUCUCUUAUCAAGAAUAUCAGGGGAAAUGGUUUUGCUGCAACAGACAAAGGAAAUUCCUGUCCUUUUUAAUGGACUCCAGCUGCCUACCAAGGCUCAUUGCUCACUUCAGGCUGUGCCCAAGUUAUUUAUAGGAGAUAUCUCAGUGUAACCUAGGGAAGUGCAGGUCAUUUGAAAAUAAAGACACAGAAAACCCAAAUGAGAAACUCCAUUUCUAGAAUUAGUUUUCCUGAAAGUCAGGCCUGUCUUUGAGGACAAGCUUUUGGCUGUAUUAUUUUUGUGCACCGGAGAAAAGUUAUUGGUAGGUUUAUAGAUAUUAUUUUUAUAAUAGAAUGUUAAGCUCCCCCCAAAACAUCAAAAAUUGUCUCCUAAAAUGGUUUCUAAAGCUUGUUUAAAAAACAGAAGGAUUGUAAAUAGCAAAUAGGGCCUUUUCUCCUUUCUCCUCUGCCAUGGUUUAAUGGGAUAGAUGAACCAAUGUUUAUAUUUUUAAGCCUGUAAAUAUUUUAUUUUGGGUAUUUUGUAUAUUUGUUGAUACAGCUCCAUGGUGCGCAUAUGUACGUACCAUCGUGCAUGUUGCUGGUUUUGAUUGUCACUCUUUUAAUGACGGUGAGAAGCUUGGACUAAUAGCACUUUCCUUGUUUCGUUCAAACAUCUUCAAAUGAAAAUACAGCACUGCCAUUUUAAACGUUGCGUUUCAUUCAGUCAAUAAAUUUUGUUGCUCCUUU